UAUCCUUGGAAUUUCUAUCUAAGACUCUCAUAGAUAUAAGACCCCUCUCACUUCCCUUCAAUCACAGACAGUGAUAAUGACUUUAAUCAAAUAAUAGAAGACACUCUUCCAAAACAUAUAAUCCACUAUUUCUUAAAAGCUUAUGAGUGAUUUAACAACCUUUUCAUCAUACAACUGAAGAAAAGAUAAAACAACAUUAAUAAUCACAAGCACAAAACCAAACAACCAAACACUUGGUAUAACACCAAGAC
rnacentral:lncRNA from 1 species